ACAGCAUUCGGACCGUCGGUCUACCGAGCAAUAUCAUCCGCUCGGUGGAAGAUCUUCCCUUUGUCGU
rnacentral:pre_miRNA from 1 species